rnacentral:rRNA from 1 species
CAGCAGCCGCGGGAAAACGGAGGGUGCAAGCGUUAAUCGGAAUUACUGGGCGUAAAGCGCACGCAGGCGGUUUGUUAAGUCAGAUGUGAAAUCCCCGAGCUUAACUUGGGAACUGCAUUUGAAACUAGCAAGCUAGAGUCUUGUAGAGGGGGGUAGAAUUCCAGGUGUAGCGGUGAAAUGCGUAGAGAUCUGGAGGAAUACCGGUGGCGAAGGCGGCCCCCUGACAAAGACUGACGCUCAGGUGCGAAAGCGUGGGGAGCAAACAGGAUUAGAUACCCGCGUAGUCCCUGUCUCUUAUACA